AGGACGAACGCUGGCGGCGUGCUUAACACAUGCAAGUCAAGGGGGCCCAGCAAUGGGCAACCGGCGAACGGGUGCGUAACACGUGAGCAACCUACCGAAAUGUGGGGGAUAGCCGGCCUAACGGCCGAGUAAUACCGCAUACGCUCUCGAUGAGGCAUUUCAUUGAGAGGAAACCUACGGGGCAUUUCGAGGGGCUCGCGGCCUAUCAGCUAGUUGGCGAGGUAACGGCUCACCAAGGCAACGACGGGUAGC
rnacentral:rRNA from 1 species